rnacentral:rRNA from 1 species
UACGUAGGGUGCAAGCGUUGUCCGGAAUUAUUGGGCGUAAAGAGCUCGUAGGCGGUUUGUCGCGUCUGCUGUGAAAACCCGAGGCUCAACCUCGGGCCUGCAGUGGGUACGGGCAGACUAGAGUGCGGUAGGGGAGAUUGGAAUUCCUGGUGUAGCGGUGAAAAUGCGCAGAUAUCAGGAGGAACACCGGUGGCGAAAGGCGGGUCUCUGGGCCGAUACUGACGCUGAGGAGCGAAAGCGUGGGGGAGCGAACAGG